GGAGAAAAAACGCACAGAAGUUUGAGAGAAGAAGUUGUUGAGAGUCCUGAGACUGAGAAAGAACAUUUAUUCAUUUACUUAGAAGCCCUUAUCCUUUCUUCUCAUCCCACUUAUCCAUUAUGUAAAAAAGUUUGGAAACAAAUUUUUAUUUUCUCUCAACAACAUGGAUAAAUGAGGAUGGUGAGCAAGGACGUUUACCGGUGUUGAUUUUGAGCUUUAAAGGAAGUGAGCAGAAGGCCAGCGAUUGUAUUUUUGCAUAAACAAAUGCAAGAAGUGGUUACAACCUUUACUAGAAGUAAAGGAUUCUCUCAACUUUUAGUGCACAGAGAUGCUCUUGUACAAGGAAAAAGGGUGAUACAGGGCCCUUCAUAUUUGAUAUGGGUAUUCCAGUUUUGUGUUAGUUUCACAUUUGAUCCAGAGCUGGGGAUUCAAAUCAAACUUCCGUUACCUUCUUCUCUGCCAAAUACAAGAAUGUUAUGGCAGGUUUGGUUUUUGGUAAAAUCGGGCAGAGCUGUUCACAAAGAGAAGAUAUUGAUCCUAGCAGGAUAGGAAUUACUGGUAAAUCACUUUGAGUGGUUGAAAGAGGCAGAGGAAGACGAUUGAAGAGUGAUGUGUACACGAUAAAUUGUUCUACAGUGUAGAUUUUCUGGUAGCAGAUUGAGUGCAUGAAGAGUGAUGUGUACACGAUAAAUUGUUCUACAGUGUAGAUUUUCUGGUAGCAGAUUGAGUGCACAUGCAGCAGCUGACAAAACGUUUCCACCACAGCGUUGGACCGCGUGGCAUUCAUCUCAGAUCUCGCCCUGUUCCCCUCCUUCAGGUUGACCGUCAUCAAGUUUAGCUUCAUCUCCUGAAGGAAAAUGGUAGAUGCUCCCAUCUUUUCCCAUGCCAGCACCACCAUAUCCUCUGUCAGAACAAAGUAUCAGUGAGUGUAAAUUGAGCCACCAUAAGGACGAUACGAAUAUAGCUCAACUCAACAAAAACCUGCCAUAUCGAUUUACAAUGUUUAGAACUUCCAACAACAUCCUCAAUCAAGAGGAAGUUACCUAGUUAAAUGUUCAUUAAAGCCCAUGAAAAAUAUAUAAAAGAACAUGAUGAAGAGUCCCCUUAAAGGGGUAAACCCUAGGUUUUGUAUGUAAAAUAGAAAUAGAUGAUAUAAGAUAUUAUUCUCCCCCAAGAUGUAAAGACAGAUUGUUU